UACGGAGGAUCCAAGCGUUAUCCGGAUUUAUUGGUUUAAAGGUGCGUAGGCGGCUUUUAAGUCAGGGGUGAAAACUUGCGGCUCAACCGUAAGCUUGCCUUUGAUACUGAGGAGCUUGAAUACACUUGAGGUAGGCGGAAUGUGACAAGUAGCGGUGAAAUGACAUAGAUAUGUCACAGAACACCAAUUGCGAAGGCAGCUUACUAAAGUGAGAUUGACGCUGAGGCACGAAAGCGUGGGAUCAAACAGG
rnacentral:rRNA from 1 species